AUUGAUCUGCUGUAACAAGCUAUGUAAUGCAUAUCGCCAUGGCAUGUCAAAAUAUUUAGCUCGAAAAUUAAAAACUAAGAAAACAUUAAAGCUAAUGCUAAAGAAAACAAACAAACAUCCGGACCCGCUAUUCUCCCCUCUGGCCACGCCUUUGGACGAAAUGUGCGUUUUUAAGUAAAUUGCAAUUAUCGGUUACCUUAAAUCAAUAUAUGAUUACUUUAUUGCAUGGGGGUUUCUCAUAUGUAUGAACGCUCAACUCUGCAUUUGAUGAUGUUAAUAAUAACCUUGCGCAUUUAUUUCUUUGUUUUUUUUAUGAAUUUAUUUGCAUCAUAUUCGAAUUUGGAACCUUUAGCUACCUAAACUAGAUGGUUGUGACUUUACUUGUAUUAAUGGAUAUGUCUAUAAGCAGUUUGUGGUCACGUCGAAAAGUUUUUACAAAUAUAAUUUAAUUAAAAGCCUGAAAGUGAAGUCAUCUGAAAAUUAAACUGUAUCUGAAAUAAAAGUAUUGAACUAACCUCAAAUUAUUAAAGGGUUCCAGCGGGUGUCUAGUAAUUUUUGAUAGAGCGUAAAAUGUUCAAAUGAGCAAAACACGAAAUGAGCGGUAUAAAGGGAAUAAGGCACAAUUGUAAAUAAAUCCAGCUUUGAAUAAAAACCAAUGCUCGAACCAUCUCGUUUCGCCAUCCUUCCAAACACUCAACGGUAUUUUCCAAGGAUGUAAAUGCGCAGCG